rnacentral:rRNA from 1 species
UACGUAGGGCGCAAGCGUUAUCCGGAAUUAUUGGGCGUAAAGAGCUCGUAGGCGGUUUGUCGCGUCUGCCGCGAAAGUCCGGGGCUCAACCCCGGGCCUGCAUUCGAUACGGGCAGACUAGAGUUCGGUAGGGGAGUCUGGAAUUCCUGGUGUAGCGGUGAAAUGCGCAGAUAUCAGGAGGAACACCGGUGGCGAAGGCGGGACUCUGGGCCGAUACUGACGCUGAGGAGCGAAAGCGUGGGGAGCGAACAGG